rnacentral:rRNA from 1 species
AUGCUCCAUAUGAUCAUUGAGAAGUUGCAUGUGCGUUUGUUGAUCUUUAAGUUAUUGAUGCAUCUCAAGAAAGUUGGCAACAUGCUCCACCUCUUGGCGGACUUGAACUCCGGACUUCUCAAAUCAUGUGGGCAACCCUUCGCCCUCAUCCUCCACAAUCAUGUUGUACAAGAUUACAAAACAUGUCGUGAGUUGUCAAAGUAUGUGAGUUGCCCCUUCACCCUCAUCCUCCACAAUCAUGUUGUGCAAGAUUACAAAACAUGUCAUGAGUUGUCAAAACGUCUCUUGGUUCCCACAUCAUUGCAACUCCACGAACAAUACCCCAACGAACUUGGAGCACUUCGAAUGACCUCUCCACAUCCUUUCUAG